CUCCCCUUCCCUCCCCUCCCCUCCCCUUCCCUUCCUCAUCUUCCCUUCCCCUCCCCUUCCCUCCCCUCCCCUCCCCUCCCCUUCCUUCCCUCCCCUCCCCUUCCCUCCCCUCCCCUCUCCCUCUUCUCCCCUCCCCUCCCCUCCCUUCCUUCCCUCCCCCUCCCAUCCCCCUCCCUUCCCUUAUCUUCCCUUCCCUUCCCUCCCCUCCCCUUCCCCUCCCCUUCCUUCCCUCCCCUCCCCUUCCCUCCCCUCCCCUUCCCUUCCCUUCCCUUCCUCCCCUCCCCUCCCCCUUCCAUUCCCUUCCCCUCCCUUCCCUUCCUUCCUCAUCUUCCCUUCCCUCCCCCUCCAUCUUCUCCCCUCCCCUCCCCUUCCUUCCUCCCCUUCCCCUCCCCUUCCCUCCCCUUCCUCCCCUCCCCUCCCCUCCCCUUCCCUUCCUUUCCCUCCCCUCCCCUUCCCUCCCCUUCCCCUCCCCUUCCCUCCCCUUCCCUUCCUCAUCUUCCCUUCCCUCCCCUCCCCUUCCCUUCCCUUCCCCUCCCCUCCCCUCCCCUCCCCUUCCCUCCCCUUCCCUUCCCUUCCCUUCCCUCCCCUCCCCUCCCCUUCCUUCCUCCCCUCCCCCCUCCCCUCCCCUUCCCUUCCCUCCCCCCCUCCCCCUCCAUCUUCUCCCCUCCCCCCCUCCCCUUCCCUUUCCUCCCCUUCCCUCCCCUCCCCUUCCCUCCCCUUCCCUUCCCUUCCCUUCCCUUCCCUUCCCUUCCCUUCCCUUCCCUCCCCUUCCCUUCCUCAUCUUCCCUUCCCUUUCCUCCCCUCCCCUUCCCGUCCCUCCCCUCCCCUCCCCUCCCCUUCCCUCUUCUCCCUUCUCCUCCCCUCCCCUUCCCUUCCCUCCCCUCCCCUUCCCUUCCCCUCCCCUUCCCUCCCCUUCCCUUCCUCAUCUUCCUUUCCCUCCCCUCCCCCUCCCAUCCCCUUCCCUUCCUUUCCCUUCCCUUCCUCAUCUUCCCUUCCCUUCCCUCCCCCCCUCCCCUUCCCCUCCCCUCCCCUUCCCUCUUCUCCCCUCCCCUCCCCUCCCCUCCCCUCCCCCUCCCAUCCCCCUCCCCUUCCCUUCCCUCCCCUCCCCUUCCUCCCCUCCCCUUCCCUUCCUUCCCUCCCCUUCCCUUCCUCAUCUUCCUUUCCCUCCCCUCCCCUUCCCUUUCCUCCCCUCCCCCUCCCAUCCCCCUCCCCUCCCCUUCCUCCCCUUCCCCUCCCCUUCCCUUAUCUUCCCUUCCCUUCCCCUCCCCUUCCCUUCCCUCCCCUCCCCUCCCCUUCCCCUCCCCUUCCCUUAUCUUCCCUUCCCUCCCCUCCCCCUCCAUCUUCUCCCCUCCCCUCCCCUUCCCUUCCCUCAUCUUCCCUUCCCUGCCCCAGGAAGCGGCCAAGAUUUAAUAUGCAGAGGUGGAGAGACAGGCGCGAGGCGCGCAUCCUCACGGCAUGCCAUAUUUCAAACAAAGACUAUACAACAAAGGGCCGGCAGACGCGGGGAUUUGUCAGAAUUCAGCGAUGGGAAAGAUUUAUCUCAGCCGCGUGGAGGGGCCUGUGACCUUGGGCUUGAGAGCUUUAAAGCGAACAGGCGGUGGUUGAAGACGGAACAAAGAGCUGCUUGUGUGACGCCAUCGGCAUGUUCCACGGGCCACGGGAGGCCAGGUCAAAGGCGAAGGCGUUUCUAGUCCGCAAAACGGAAGGUCAGCCUCUCUCUCUGUCCAUCUCUCUGCGUCCCUGUCUCUGUCUCUCCAACGUCUUCUGUCUCUCUCCUCACCCAGGGCCCCCGGAACAUAUGUCCGAAGCUACUGCUGAGUCUGUGGCCUUGUAUUAUCUGCUCAUUUAGCUGUUGUGUUGGUGAUGCCCGGAAGGGAAUUUCUCCCCAGCCUGGUCAUGACGCUUCGGCCGGGGAGAAGGAUCGCGUCUGAAUUCUCCCUCCUGCCGGAAAAUCCUUCUUCGCAUCUCAUCUAUAUCCCUCGUGCUGCAGCGUAAACUUAUUUCAUGGUCUGCUUUUAAUUUUCAUUCACUUCCCGCGGCGCCUGGCGGGGGGGGGGGGCUCAGUCGGUUAAGCGUCCCCGACUUCGGCUCGGGUCAUGAUCUCGCGGUCCGUGGGUUCGAGCCCCGCGUCGGGCUCUGGGCUGGCGGCUCGGAGCCCGGAGCCCGCUUCGGAUUCUGGGUCUCCCUCUCUCUCUGCCCCUCCCCUGCUCCUGCUCUGUUUCUCUCUGUCUCAAAAAUAAAUAAACACAUUUAAAAAAAAUUAA
rnacentral:lncRNA from 1 species